rnacentral:rRNA from 1 species
GAUGAACGCUGGCGGCGUGCCUAAUACAUGCAAGUAGAACGCCGAAGCAGGAAGCUCGUGCUCUUACGAUGAGUGGCGAACGGGUGAGUAACGCGUAGGUAGCCUUCUUGUUAGCCGGGGAGGACUACGGAAAACGAUAUACACUACCACAUAAUACGACAUGCUGCAUGAUACCUACUUAAAUCGUGCAAUUGCCGCAUGACCAGACGGACCUCGGUUUUAUUAGCUAGUUGGUGAGGUAACGGCCCACCAAGGCGACGAUACGUAGCCGGCCUGAGAGGAUGAUCAGCCACACUGGAGCUGAGACACGGCCCAGACUCCUAGGGGAGGAGCCAGAGGGGAACUUUGGACAUGGGGCGCAAGCCGGCCGCGCAAAGCCGCGGGGGGGGAGGAAGGUUUCGGGUCGUAAAGGUCUGUUGGUUGGGAAGAAAGAGUGGGAGGUUAAAACGCCGCUGUUGUGACGGUACCUAACCAGUAAGAAACGGCUAACUUCGUG